CACGAGUCGAGGAGAACUAUCAAGAGUGGCACAAAACUGCAGGUCACUGGGCUGGCCACCAGGUAUUCCCACCCACCAGAAGCUGGCUGUUGUACUCACCCGGAACCAUGGUGCACCACCACAGCGGCGAGGUCAUACAGGCAGCUCUCCGGGCCACUGUUCUCAGGCUACAGAACAAGGAAGAAGGCACAGUGGUCAAUGACAUCGGUAUCUUGAUGACCUCUACCCUCUCCAUGUGAUGACAAUCUUACCGAAGAGCCAUUUUUUCACCAUGCUAAAAAGGGAAGAGGAGCACAGCAGUAAUGCUGAUGGGAAGAAGGUGCUGACAGAUGGACUCACUGGGGUCACAGCAACAAUCGACAGUACAAGUGGCAAACGUUGUGUAAAAUACUCCAAAUCUAAGACACAUAUUUAUAAAAGUCUGUAACAGGUAACAUUACAUGUUAGAGUUGUAACAAAACAGUGAUUAAAUCUCAACUAACUCUUAUAUUUAAAUAAAUUUUAAUUACUCACAUUUACUUUUAAUAACUUGCUGUUUAGUGUUGAGUUUUCCAAAAGUUUUCUUUUCCUAUGCCUGUCAGCUGUGAAAGCUGAGCUAUUAAAACACAAACAGAUAGUGA
rnacentral:antisense_RNA from 1 species